UGUCAGACAUGGGGUGAUUCCAGGGUUGAUAUAACAUAAGCCGCCUUCUGAGGUUGAAACGUGAAGGCGCAAAGCUCCCUCUCACUCAGACAACAGCUGAAAUAACAGCGUUUGAUUGGCAGAUAUGAAUUUAAAACACAUGUUGGCCAUCAAUCCUUGGCGUUUAAAGCUUGUUGUAAUCUGUGCUUCACAGGAACAACAUUGUGUUGUUUAGCGACCAGUCCAGUUUUAAUUUACUUGCCUGAGCUUGAUCCAAACCAAUAGAAACAAUAAUAAAAAGCAUAUAACAUUAUAAACUAUUACAAAGCUUAAAUGUAAAUUUAUUCAUAAUUUGGGGUCUUUUCUUAAUCCCUUUAUUUAUUUUUAGAAGGAAAUGAGAUGUUGGUUUCACAUUUUUCCACAGACGACGUAUGAUUUCCAGGUUACUAAAACCCUAUGAGCCCUCUCUCAAGCCCUCUGAGAUAAAAAUAAAAGCAUUUGUUCUUCAUCCUCGAGUCAGCUCAGUGGGCAAAUCUGUCAGAUUGUAUUUGUGAAACUCACAGUGCUUGCUGUGUGCAUUUGUCAUUGCGCAGAGGUUUGAUUCCUUGCUGACAUCAUGCAGCUCAGAGUUAUCAUGUGCACCGGCUGGACAGGGCAUGCUACAGCUCUCUUUGGCUGAACCCUCUAUCCCCCUUAUUGUCAAGAGGAUGAGGUUUUAUUCAUGACUGUGGGGUGACUGAGGGGAUGUCGUGCAUGAUUUGACAAAAGUCCAUCCUCAGCUCCUGACAUGAAGGAUGACGAGGACAUUGCCCAGGAUGUCUACCACGAUGGUGAAGAUCAGCACGCUGGCCAGCGCAGUGGACACUCCAGAGGAGAAGGCGCUAAGUCGGCGGUCGCUCUCAUUCCGAG